GUUAAAUAUGAUGAAUAAACGCUAAUCUGUACGUUAACAGUUGUUGAAACAAACAAACGAAAUGUUUUUGUUAUCUAUUGUUUUUGAUGAGUGCUAAGCAAUAUGUUAAGAUAUAUUUUGUGUUUGCUUACUGAUAUUUAGGAUAGGAGAAAAAAUAGACAUGUGCAGCGGUCGGUUUCUUGUCCGGUUACUGGCAAUAGCAACUGCUUAAUCAUACUUCGGUCCCUAGUGGCCAUUCUUUGUCAACGGACAUCGCCCGUGAUGGUAUGGCGGCCAUACCUAGUAUUACGGAUGUCGCUUGGGAAUGUAUGGCGUUUAUUCGUGAUCUGGUGAAUAUCGCCCUGUCAUUGUAUGCAGGGUAUUUUUAAAAUGACAGGAAUAUAUGGCCGCCAAUCGUGAUAUAGCAAAUAUCGUCACUGAACUUAUCGCGAUUGUUCGUGUUUUGGCGAAUACCGUCAUGGAAUGUAUUGGACAUUCGUAAUAUGGCGGAUACGAAACUUAACUCAUUAUAAAAAGCUGCUCCGGACGCAGUUCUUGAUGACAACCGCAGCUAAAUUAGCAAACUCCUGCUUGGUAAUCGUACCAUCAACUGAAAUAGAAACAGCGCCGAAGUAUGACAAUCCAUAAAUGCAAUAGCAAGACAAACAAGAAAGCCUACAAAAUAGUGAUAUGAUUUGCUAUAAUACAGAGUAUGGUUGGCAAAUGUUUGUGAAACCAUCACCUAAUGAUACAAAACUGUGCUUGAACUAGAAGGGUGCAUAUUAAAAAUAAACCUUAAAUGUAAAAGCGAUCGUAUCUUUGCGAAAUUAACCCGACACAAAUUAAGAUAAAUGUACUUCAA